rnacentral:misc_RNA from 1 species
CUCCUCAGCCUUCUCAAAAACAAGCUUUGGAUUACGAAUCAUAUCCCCAGGGGUCGGUUCUAACUUUUUGGUAGAAAGACUUACUCUACCUCUCUCACGGUCAUGGCUCAGUAUCAUGACCUUGAGAGUAUCACCAGGUUGAAGNUGUGGCAAUAUCGGAGACACGAUCAUGACUAAUCUGACUGACAUGAAGAAGGCCAUUGAUUCCACCAAUGUCAAUGAAUGCACCAUAUGGUUUCAGGCUCUGAACAGUUCCAAUGACCACCGAUCCGAUACCCAGCUGUGCCUGACUGUCUGCCAUGGCCUUGCGGUUACUGAGUACAAGCCUAGACUGUUCCUCAUCAACAUCAACAAACUUCAGUGGAAGUUCCUUAUCAAGAAGUUCUUCUGCAGUUGAUUUCGAUGAUAUCUGAGAGAAAGGGACAAAUCCUCGGAGGCCCUCCACUAGAGCAACCACUCCACCUUUGUUAGCACCAACAACCUUACCCUUCACAAUAGCAUCCUCAGCUUGAAGCUGCCUACACCUUUCCCAGGCAAGGUCAUACUG